GGCCCGGCGGCGGGGGCGGGGCGGCCGAGCCGCCCGCCAAUCCACGCUUUGCAGGCAGGGAGCGCGGGGCCGCGGAACGGGCAAGGAGAACUGCCUAGCCGAGGACGGACACAAGGCCUCCGUCUUCAGAGCCCCCGAAAGAAAGCGAGGGAGGACGAGAGACGACGAGAGGAAGGGAUGGGAAGGGAAGACAGCCCCCGGUUAUCACCGCCUUAAAGCCAACUCAACAGCGUAACGCCUCUUUGCACCGCACAGCCUGACGGGAGCCUCAGCCUCUAGGUACAGGCUGCGCCCGCAACGCGCCCCUGACACCGCCCCCUGCCGCGGGGCACGCUGGGAGAGCCGAGUUUCCCCCUCCCUCUAGUAAAUGGGCGAGCAGAAGGGUAUUUCCGGUGUUAACGACUAUCUUUACGGAAGGGGUGGGGUCAAUCCUGUCCUGCCCUUCCUGGCCGGCGGGGCGAAGACUGACAUUCUUCGGCAACCGCUAAGGCCCGCCCCUGCACCGGAAGGAGGAAGGCGGGGGAGUCGAACAGGCGUCAGGCGCGGGGUCACGUGUCGCAACUACUGGUGGAGAGAAGAAAAGGGCGGGACCCCGGACGGAGGGGCGGGGUGCCCUCCUUUCCCUUGGGUCACGCGCGGCAGGAAGUGGUUCCCGAAACGGAGUAUUCGAGAUGGGGACCGCCCUGGACAUUAAGGUUAAAAGAGCGAACAAGGUUUAUCACGCCGGGGAAAUGCUCUCCGGGGUGGUGGUCGUAUCUGGGAAGGAUUCGGUCCAGCACCAGGGAGUCUCCUUGACAGUGGAAGGAACCGUGAACCUCCAACUCAGCGCCAAGAGUGUGGGUGUGUUCGAAGCAUUCUAUAAUUCUGUUAAGCCCAUCCAGAUUAUCAACAGUACCAUCGAAAUGGUGAAACCAGGAAAAUUUCCCAGUGGCAAAACAGAAAUUCCUUUUGAAUUUCCUCUGCACGUGAAGGGUAACAGAGUUCUGUAUGAGACUUACCACGGCGUGUUUGUCAACAUUCAGUAUACCCUGCGCUGUGACAUGAGGCGGUCCCUGCUGGCCAAGGACUUGACCAAGACCUGUGAAUUCAUCGUUCACUCUGCUCCUCAGAAGGGGAAACUGACUCCGAGUCCCGUGGACUUCACUGUCACACCUGAAACCUUACAGAAUGUCAAAGAGAGAGCCUUGCUUCCCAAAUUUCUCAUCAGAGGACAUCUCAACUCGACCAACUGUGUUAUCACACAGCCGCUAACGGGAGAGCUGGUGGUGGAGAGCUCGGAGGCCGCCAUCAAAAGCAUCGAGCUGCAGCUGGUGCGCGUGGAGACCUGCGGCUGUGCAGAAGGGUACGCCCGCGAUGCCACAGAGAUUCAGAACAUUCAGAUCGCCGACGGGGACGUGUGUCGGGGCCUCUCUGUCCCCAUAUACAUGGUCUUCCCCCGGCUCUUCACCUGCCCGACACUGGAGACCACCAACUUCAAAGUGGAGUUCGAGGUUAACAUCGUUGUGCUGCUUCACCCUGAGCACCUCAUCACAGAGAACUUCCCGCUGAAGCUCUGCAGGGUGUAGCCGGGAACAGGUGGAAAUGCAGCCGUGCCGACCUACGGGAGCUGAAGCCGGCGGCACCGAACUUGCUUUCUUGAUGGUUCUGUAUCAGAAAUGAGUCUGACCCUUCUUCCUCAUUCCCUCGAGGCCCCUCUAGUCAGAGCUUCCCUUUGAAAUUCGUCAGGAUUUCUUCAUGGCGUUGGCAAGAUUGCAUCCCAGACAGUAAAUUUCCUGUGACUCCUGACUAACCUGCUCCUUUUUAGGUUCAGAGCACAGUUGUAACAGAGUCUGAACUUUGCUGGAAAGUGAGGUCAGGGACAAAGGAAACCGCCUGUCUGGCCGAUGGUUGUGGCCAGGGCUCCCGACAGCUCCCCGACCCCGCAGGGUGGCGACAGGCGUGCUGGUUGCUCAUGACGUUGGCGGACGCCCGCCAAGGAGGGCGCCGUGGUGCCCGCUGCAGAUGCGCAGAGUGUUUCCCACUCUGUUCUCUUUUAUAACAUUUGUCGUGAUAACUUCAGAACUUCUGGGGACCUGGGGAAAGUGUGCUUUGCCCUCCCGGGAGUGAGGGGAUCUGGUGACCACGGCUGGUGCUGGAGUAUUUCUGAGUCUCAGGACCUGGUGGGAAGUUGCCUGCUGCCGUCUUCCCAGAGUCCGUUUAAGUGCGAGGUUCUGUCGGGGAUAAAAACACGUGUCCACGCCCGUCGUUGUUGCCUGGGUUCUGAGUGGCAGGGGACCCGGGCCCAGGCCAGCAGUGAAGACCCCUCUGUGCUGGGCGGGACCUGGACCUGAUGAACUUGGCCCACCUCCAUCCCACCUGAGGGACCUGCGUUGGUGGGGUGGGGGGAGGUAGUUUGGCCUGAAGCCAUUUUCUCCCUCGCCUCCUGUGGGGACUUGCAGUGUAGGGUGGGUCUGUUGCAACACAUUUCUUCCUUCACAUCCUGCUGUUGUUUCUCUGGGCCCACAAUUAACCUCAGAAGUAAGCCGCGCACUGUGCACGCUGCCUGGCCUUCCUCUCCUGAGGGAAUAACUAUCACCUGAAGAGCUGCCAGCAGCCCGGCCGCCUUUAUCAUUUUGUUCAACCUCGAGGGGCCCGGGUGAGGGCCAUUUCCUUGCCCUUCUUGGACGGGCACCUCCACCAUCAGUUAUUAAGGAAAACUUGGACGUUUGGGUGUCUUGGGCAGCAGCAGUCCCACUACUGCCCUGGCUGGAGCUGGGGGUGUCCGUUGUCAGGUUCUCCCGUUACAGCAGGGGCAAGGGGAGGUGAAGGAAAGAGGCCGUGAACCUAAAACAGUACGUUUUUUUGGGAAAUGCCGGGUUAGGCAGGAGCACCUCUGGCUCUUGGAGCUCCAGCGGAAAUGGGGCCUCGCUCUGGUUCUCAGCCACAUCGUGAGUUCCACAGGAAAGGUGGAGAGGUCGGUCAGAAAUAAAGCGUUUAAAAAAGAAGCCAAAAUAUCGUGCCUGACUUCACCCAGAGCUCAUGUCCCGAGCCCACCUGCUCCGGUAGCUGGGGGGAGGAGGGUCCCUGGUGUCAUUUCUGCCUUCUUCGUUGAGGCCCAUAAUUCCCGAGCCUGAGUCUGAAUUACCUUUAAAACCUUUGGGGUAAGACUACCCCCACCUGCUGGCGGCGCUUUGGGCUGUGGCAGAUCACCAGUGCUUCCACAGCCCCCCCUCUGAUUCCCUUCCAAGUUCAGAAAUAGAGUUGCAUUUCCGUGGAGCCAUGCCCACUUUACUGGGGACUGACUUCCAACUCCUUUGCAGCGGGGUGUGGUCAUGUGACAGGGAGGACCUGGGCCCCUUCCCGCGGCUGGCCGAGAACAGGCCUGCUCCCCACCCAGACCGUGCCGAGCACAAGGAACGUGUGAGCAGAACAGCUGGCCUCCCGCCUGUGUCGCGGUCACCGGAAAGGGAAAGGAAUGGGUCCUCUUCAGAGCACGGGAUUGCCGGGUGUCUGGGCUGCAGCAGUCCUGCCCUUUCCUGCCCUGGAGCUUGUGACGUAGGGUCCGGUCCCACCCGUGCCUCUCGUACAGCCCGAGGUCCACACGCAUGUAGGAUGAAGAAAUACUCCUUCAUCUUCAUGCCCACCCUCUGCAUCAAGAUUCUUAGGGGUCCAGGACCUUGCCCGGGCCCAGCUGGUCAAACACCAGGGCGGGUGUAGACCAGCACUCCCCGGAGCUGUUGCUGAUCUCAUCCAGCCACCCCAGGACCCAGCUGACCCAGCCCUACCCAGUAAAACCUCCCUGACCAGAGUGGAAGGAAAACAGGCUGGUUUUCACUGUCACUAACUGUUCUAGAGAUCUAAAAGAUUUGGUUAGGUUUUCCUGGGAGAAGUGUCAAUGCCAAGAUAAAUUCUGUGAUGACAGCUGUGACGCAGCCCUUUCAUCCUGUGUUCUGGGAGGAGAGAUGCCACAGGCUGGCGAGUAGGGUGCUACUGUUGUCUGGUGCUGGUUCCCACACAUCCUUGAAACCUGCAGGAACUGCUUUCUCAAGUGAGGCCGCCCUCCCUGAGGGCUGGGCCGCUCCCACUCAGGGGGCUCCACGCAGAUGGUUUGCAGUUGCUGGAGUGUUGAUAGAUACCAGCCAUGUCUGUGCAUCUAACGAGAGCAGGAGCUCUGUGAGCAUUCAUUGUUAUUCUGGAUCAGACCCUGUGCUGAGUGCCAUGCAUGUAUUAUCUUAAUUGUGUAGCAACACUAUGAGGAGGGAACUCUUAUCCCCAUUUAAAGAUGAGGGGAUUGCGGUUGAUGGAAAGACACAAAGACAUAAUUUGUGCCUGCUUCUUCAAGACUCAUCAGAUUUGGGGGAGCAUCUGCUUAUUGAAGACCAAGGGCUGAGAUAACACUAGAAUGUUUGGUUGCUUGUCAUCUGGAUCAACUGUCCUUUCUCCAAAAGAGGCCUCUGUUUGGUUCCCUUGACAAAGUCCAGUAGUGGCAGGAGGCUCCGUGAAGGUCCACGAAGAAGCAGCUCCAGAGAAAAGGAUUUCUGAGAGAUGAGGGUGUGACCGUUGUCUUCAUGCUCUAAGAUAGUAGCAGCUAGCUCCAGCCAUCACAUCUGCAUUCCAGGCAUCAGAAUGGGAGAAAGGAUGAAGGUGAAAAAAGGUCAAAGGUCAAGUACCAACUCUAUUGAGGAUCAUCUUGAUGGAUGCCAUAAGGUAUAUGUUAUUUUAACCUUUUAUUUUGGAAAUUUCAAAUGUAUAGAAAAGCACAGCGUCAUAUAGAUUAUGUCAUACCCAAAAGAUGUCUAUUUGUUAACAUCUUUAUUGAAACAUAAUUCAUGGACCAUAAAAUUUACCCAUGUAAAGUACACAAUUCAGUAGUUUUAGUAUACUCACAGAGAUGUGGAACCAUCACCAAAAUCUAAGUUUAGAUUAUUUCCUUCACUCUAAAAAGAAAGCCUGAAGCCAUUAGCAGUCAGUCCCUUCCUCUUCAGCCCCAAGCAACCACUAAUUUACUUUCUGUCUCCACAGGUUUGUGUAUUCUGGGUAUUUCAUGUGAAUGGAAUCAUACAUUGUGUGGUCUUUUGUGACUGGCUUCUUUCACUUAGCAUAAUGUAUUUAAGGUUCAUUUGCAUUGCAACGUUUGUCACUACCUCAUAACUGCUUUAUUUUUGGGGGGGGUGGGUAGCAUAUUUUAAGAUUUAUUCAGUCCCAUAGUUACUUUCCAAAGUUGUCCAAGAAAGCUAAAAAGAAGCAGUUGGGAAGGGAAAUGAUGAGACGUUUGAAGUUUGAGUCAGUCUGAUCUCAGUAUGUCCAUCCCAGCUUAGUUCUAACUCAUUUGAAGAUAACUGUAGUUUUUCCCUGGUUUAAAAUGGCAAUUCACAAAGUAAGAAUCAAUCAAGCUGUUUCCCAGUGAAUGACACUGAGCUUCACCAAAAAACUACCCUCAAGGAGCAAAAAGGCUACAAAGUAAGGAAUCAUUAAACUGACAUUCCUGAAAUGGGGAAUUCCUUGUCAAGGUGAGCCAUCCAUACACUCAUUGCAUUUGAGGCAGCUACUGAGAAAUCCUCAGCAAACCUAGAAAUGAAUUACUUAGUUCCCACAACCAGCCAAAGGACAGGUGCACACUUUCUGCCUGUCUGUGCACCACAUACAAAUGCACUACCACGUGACAACGUGGGGUUUUACAGUUUUUUCCACAGCAAGACAGUAAGUCUUUCCACAAAGUCUAGAGCAGGGCUUUGGUUUUGGUUCUUUCUGGUAUUCUAACAUUGAUACCUGUUGGGACAUUGUGAAUAAGAGGUUAGUAUGAGUGCUUUGCCGUGUCACCAUGAGCCCGGGUUCAGCCAUAGUCGUUGUGGUUCUGAACUGCAGUACAGGGGUCUCUUAGAGUCCAGUCUCUUGCCCUCUUUGGCUCUCUGUCUCUCUCUCUGUCACAUCUACUUCUGCCUCUGCUGACAUCUUGGCAUGCUGGCUGUCAAGUGCAGCGCCGCCUCUUAGUCUCCUCCCAACGGCCAUGCCUGGACCAGCCCCUCAGCCGCCUCGUGCUCCUUCUGUCUUGGCCUUUCUUUCCCUCCCCCUCCCUCGUAAGUUUUUUUUUUUUUUUACAUUUUUAGAUGUAUUUUUUAAAUUAAUUUAUUCUAACAGUCAUUAAUUCCACAAUUAUUUAUUAAAUAGUUUUAUAUGUGGGGCAUUGUACUAAGAACUAGGGCACUGAGAUACUUAUUUCUUGUGUAACUCUAAGCAAGAUAACUGAAUUCCAUAAGCCACAGUUUUCUCAUUUGUAAAAUGGGACCAAUGAUAAUACUUAUUCAUAAGAACAUCAUGAGAAUUAAAUGCAGUACUAUAUGUAUAUAUGUAUAUUACUGCAUUUUAUUUAUAUAGUGUUUGAAUAUAUACAUAGGAAUACAUAAAGUACUUGAAUUAAAAAAACUGUAGAGUCUUAAGUUGUCACUCAGUAGGUUGUUAAUUUAA